GGAUUAGAUACCCUGGUAGUCCAUGCCGUAAACGUUGGGCACUAGGUGUGGGGCCUUUGUGGUUCUGUGCCGUAGCUAACGCAUUAAGUGCCCCGCCUGGGGAGUACGGCCGCAAGGCUAAAACUCAAAGGAAUUGACGGGGGCCCGCACAAGCGGCGGAGCAUGCGGAUUAAUUCGAUGCAACGCGAAGAACCUUACCAAGGCUUGACAUACACCGGGAUCAUGCAGAGAUGUGUGAGUCUUUGGACUGGUGUACAGGUGGUGCAUGGUUGUCGUCAGCUCGUGCCG
rnacentral:rRNA from 1 species